rnacentral:lncRNA from 1 species
AGGAAAUUAAUUACAUUAUGUUCGUACAGUGAGAAAGUACAAUAAAAAAAUGUAGUGUUUAUUUCUGUACAUAAUAUAAUAUUCUACAUAUCGUAAUGAGUUGAUAACAAUAUAUUUUUUAUUAUCCCACCGAAAACAAAUUAAAGAAAUUAAGAAGCAUAUCUCUUUAUGUUUUUGUCCUAUCUCUAUUUUAUCUAUUACCAAAU